CUAUUUUCCUGGCAGGAGAGAGACAACGAUCCUGAAGGUGGUUUUCCCAGGACGAGGCUAGCCCAUUGCACUUCGGGUGUGCUGAAACCUGCGAUGUCCCCAAAUGCGGGAUACUCAACUGCAAAAUUUGUGGUAGUGGGGGACAGCGUUCGUGCUCUUCACUG